rnacentral:lncRNA from 1 species
UUAAGUGUGCAGGAUUAACUAUGAUAACCAGAAAACACAAAGCAAGAAUACCAGAGUCAAGAUCGAUGGACAUUUAAGAGUCCGAAGAAUCGUCGGAGAUGCUGCCGAAACCAACCGAGAAGAAAUCGGGAACCUAUCGGAAUUUUCGGAAGUUCGCCGAAGAGAUCGUCGAAGGUUCACGGAGAUCACCGAGAAGGCUCG